CCAUGGCUCAGAUUGAACGCUGGCGGCAGGCCUAACACAUGCAAGUCGAGCGGAUGACAGGAGCUUGCUCCUGAAUUCAGCGGCGGACGGGUGAGUAAUGCCUAGGAAUCUGCCUGGUAGUGGGGGACAACGUUUCGAAAGGAACGCUAAUACCGCAUACGUCCUACGGGAGAAAGCAGGGGACCUUCGGGCCUUGCGCUAUCAGAUGAGCCUAGGUCGGAUUAGCUAGUUGGUGAGGUAAUGGCUCACCAAGGCGACGAUCCGUAACUGGUCUGAGAGGAUGAUCAGUCACACUGGAACUGAGACACGGUCCAGACUCCUACGGGAGGCAGCAGUGGGGAAUAUUGGACAAUGGGCGAAAGCCUGAUCCAGCCAUGCCGCGUGUGUGAAGAAGGUCUUCGGAUUGUAAAGCACUUUAAGUUGGGAGGAAGGGCAUUAACCUAAUACGUUAGUGUUUUGACGUUACCGACAGAAUAAGCACCGGCUAACU
rnacentral:rRNA from 1 species